GGCUCAGAUUGAACGCUGGCGGCAUGCUUUACACAUGGCAAGUCGAACGGUAACAGGUCUUCGGAUGCUGACGAGUGGCGAACGGGUGAGUAAUGUAUCGGAACGUGCCCGAGUAGUGGGGGAUAACUACUCGAAAGAGUGGCUAAUACCGCAUACGCCCUACGGGGGAAAGCAGGGGAUCUUCGGACCUUGCGUUAAUGGAGCGGCUGAUAUCUGAUUAGCUAGUUGGUGAGGUAAAGGCUCACCAAGGCGACGAUCAGUAGCUGGUCUGAGAGGACGACCAGCCACACUGGAACUGAGACACGGUCCAGACUCCUACGGGAGGCAGCAGUGGGGAAUUUUGGACAAUGGGCGCAAGCCUGAUCCAGCCAUUCCGCGUGAGUGAAGAAGGCCUUCGGGUUGUAAAGCUCUUUCGCAAGGGAAGAAAACUUACUUUCUAAUAAAGAGUGAGGUUGACGGUACCUUGAUAAGAAGCACCGGCUAACUACGUG
rnacentral:rRNA from 1 species